rnacentral:miRNA from 1 species
GAGUGGGGAGGAGAGAGGGACAGAGAGCCUGCUUCUUUAAAGGAGCAAAGCAGGAGAGGAGAGGAGCCACUUACACGAGUGUAAGCGGCUCCUGUCUGGUUGGUUCCUUUAAAGCAAGCAGGCUCUCUGUCCCUCUCUCCUCCCCACUC